CAGAUACAAUGAUGAUGGCAUAGUUCAGCAGAAUAUCCUUGAUGAGUACUUCUGUUUUUCGCCCCUAUCUGAUGUAUCUG
ensembl:snoRNA